GCUGCGGGGGCGGACUGAGAGGUGCGGCUCCCUUCGGGGGUGUUUUCCUGCCGGUGAGCGGGGAUGCAGCAGGCUCGAGCGGAGGGCGCGGGUGCCACGCGUUCUGUCUCUUUUCCGUCAGGGGUUCCCUCUCGGGCCCGCUGUCCCACCGGGGCCGGCCCUCCCCGGCACAGCCCCCGGUGAGCGCCCACACGCCUCGGCUGCCUGCCUUGGCCGUCGCGCUGCGACUGGGAACGGCCUUCGUGCCUCCGGAGCCGGUCUUUUACACGUUGAAAAACGAGACAUGCAGAACUAAAACUGUUCUUUUUUUACCGCCUUACCCGCCGGAAGCCUCAGCGAGGCCUGACACCUCCUUGCAUCGUGUUUACGGCUGAAAACGGAGAAACCUUCCCAAGUCGGAAGAGCCUGAAAUGCCAAGGGUGCACCUGCCUCCUCCUGCCCGCUCCUCUGCCCCUUUGCAGCGCUCCCCCCCGCUCUCCUCCCGCUGCUGGUCCUGCCUUGCUGCCGGGAAAGCAGGUGAGGGGGAGCUUUGGGCUGAACCCAGGCCCGUCUGCAAGUGCAAAGCCUGGCAGGAUCUCAGAGGGAGCUGGUGCGAUCCGUGCUGCCACACACUUGGAGACUGUCAAGCCUGUAAUGGGCAUUUAAUUAUUAAUUUUAAGUUAGCUUUCUCUAACCAACCCUGUAGAAUGGCAAGGUAUAUGCUACUGCUGUAGUGAUUAUAGGAAAAGUCUAGUUUAUCCUUUUAGAUUCAAUUUAUCAUAAUGUGGGACUGGCUGGUUCAGGAUGGGAUGAGAUUUUUUUUCUUUUCCCCUGAGGGAUACAUUCUUUCCUGGACACAAAGCUUGGACAUAGACAUAGAAUGACAGCUGUAUCCUCCCAAUUCUUUUUCCUGCCUACCCAAACUCCAGUACUCUACUGGACUGCCAACCCUACAUCAGCAUGCUUUGCUCUGGGCACGACACAAGGAUAUUUGCACCAGCAUACUGCACAGCAAUGUACAAAAAGUAUCAACUCUGAAUUUUGAUGACAAGAUUUGAAAAAAGAAGGAAUGGAGUUUUCUGUCUGUAUCAAAUACAGCUUUACUAGAAAAUGGAAAAUUGUUCCUCUGCCCUUUUUUCUUGCUGUCUCCAAGCUGAUUCUGAAAAGCCAGUAUAGGCUGGAGUAGCAGCGAAAUCUUUCCAUUUGUAAAACUUGCUGGCAUGAAACUUCUCCCUGCCCCCAUCUUGGUCCUAGAUAUAUCCCUGAGCACUGCUCGUCUGUGCAGAUGGCAAAACCUCCUGUUGAUUCCCUGAUGCUCGCCUCUUCAAUAGAUGGAUGGGCUCAGUUUAUUCCAAAGUGAAUAUAAAGCCUUGGGGUUUCCUGAGGAAAGUUACAGUUUUCAUUUUGUAGGUGGUUUUGGUGACACAGAGACAAUCCCAUCCCACAGGAUUCUUGUGUAAGACACACAGGUUCCUCGUUCAGUUCAGCUGAAAGUUUUCUACUGACUGCUCUGCAAAAGCUAUGCAAAAUUUUCGAAGACUGUGUCAAGCUAGAUCAGCCUGGCUUGGUGAAUGCCCUUAGAGCAAAGCACAGACAAAAAUCAGAAGGUGUGGAAUGAAUCCAACCCCAGGCUCCUCUUCCAGGCUUGUUUCCUGGUUCAGAUGGGUAGCCAUUGGAGAAAUGGCCACUGGAGAAGCUCCCAAAGUAGAAAUGCCUGAUUUAGUUUUAGUGACAACACUCCAGGAGUAGCUGAACAUUUGGGCUCAGCUGUUGAUGCAGCUAGAGCUGGGGACCCUGGGCACCACAUUAAUAACAAGGUUUCUAUUAACUCUUUUUAAAAAUAUAGAUACCUGUUUGCAAGAUCAUCACAUAAGGAAAUCUCACAGAUGCAAAUAGACAGACUCCAUGAAGGGUAAAAUCUCGGCCCCAUGGAAGCAAUGCCCAAGUCUUGUAAUGAGCCUGGAUACUACAGGUGCUGUAGUGCCCUACUCAGGACCACUUCAUAUCAACAAUACAAACAAGGCAUCUUUUCCUGUGCUUACCCAUUAACUCUAAGGCAGGAAUUUUUCCUAAUUAAAUCAGUUUUAACAUCUCUUUGUUCUUUGAUCAGGUCAUCUGAAUUACUCUGUGCCUGCAUCUAUGCUAACCAUAGCCAUUUGAAACCUCAGCCUAAGUUCCUUCAAAAUUUAGCCACAAGUGAGGCAGGAAUUUGCAAAAAGACUCAGUGACACAGAGUCUUAAUUCAUCUGGGAGUUGAGUCCUCCAUGAGUGCUGCAGCAGCAGAGCCAUCCAUUCCCUUGCUGAAUUCAGUGUGACAGGCUGCUACUGAUAGCUGAUACCUAAACAGCACUCUCCUUGCAGAGCUCCCAAACCUCUUCACAAAAAUGGCUGAAUAGCCUUCUUCCCAACUUGCCAGUGGGAAAUGGAAAACACAAACAAAUCCCUAUGAAGCCAUAUUACCCACUGCAAUGAAUUUCUGAAUCAAGAGAAGGACCAGAGCCUCUGCAGAGAUAAAUGUUAACAAGUGUGAAGCCCUUGCCUACCAAAAUUAUGAGGUCCACGUAAGAGCAAUAAAUAGAGCAGAAGACAUGGUGUUGUGUGAGGAUGCUACUCAGCCUGCAUUGCUGUGGACACAUGCAGACACCUGCUGCUCACUGAUUCUGACAUACAGUGUGGUUGCCACCUUCUCCAAUACCAGGAUUAUAGCCUCAAGUCACAAGAAACUUCACAUCUUCCCCAGAACAUCUGGUGCCUGCCAUCAGCUAUCAAAAGGUUUCACCCCCAAGCCCCUCUUUCAGCUAUGCUCUGGUUUUGCAGGGGCAGGUGUGGAGGUUGCAGACAGGACCUCCAAGCCUGCUGUACCUUUGGAUCUCUCAUGCAUCUACUGAGAAACACUUGUGCAACUAACUACUUGUUUUACAUUAUUUGUUCAGAAUACCUGGAUUUAUGGUUGUCGUGGGAACUAUAACAGGAUUUCCUGACUUCAGUGCAGACAAAAAUCUCUGCACAGAGUAACAUGGUCCAGGUGAGAAUGGGGCAGGGCUGUGGAGCUGGUGCUAGCAUUGGGCAUAGUCAGGAGGUUGGUGCUGUGUGCCUGCUGAAGCCAGAAUUUGACUUAGAUGAUUUUUCAAAAAGAGAUACACGUGAUAUUUUGCUCAGCAAGCAUGCCUUCCAGCCAUGCAGUCCUCUGUUCUCAAGUGUUGCUUCCUGCCUCACUUCUGCAGGAACACUUGUCUCAGAGGCUCAUCCUCACCAGGAAGGUGGAUUACAGCAAGAUCUUUUGCUUUUGACAGCAACCAAAGAUGGAAGAACGACCACUGGGCAAAAACAUCCAGCUACAUUUUCCUGGAAAUGUCUAUUCCUGGAAAAUGCAAUGUGUUGAAUAACAGUGCAGCUCUAUACUGAAAUAUGAAGGACCUGGCCUAAAGAUCCAUCUGAAAAAUGCCUGUUAGCUAGUGCAGGCUGGGUUGCUUCAGGUAAAAAUCAGAAACAGCAAAAUUCUUACUCUUCAGAAAGACAUUUUCUGAGCCCCAGGGAUAGAACAUUUCUGACUAGAGUAGUUCAGGAGUUAGGGGCUCAGGUGAAGUCAGGGUCAGGGAAAGCACCCUGUCUGCACAGCUCUGGAGGUGCUGCUCGUGCCGUGGGGAGUGAUGACUAUUGACCAUCUGCAUGCUGCACUUCCCUGUGCUAAUGGAGACAGGACAUCAUUGGGGUGAAUACUGCUCCUGCACUGUUAUACACAUGUGCAAGGUACAUAUGAUGCUGCUGUGGUUUUCACUUACUGUGCAUUAGAAUGUCUGAGGAUGUCUAUACUGGAGGAUAUACCAGUAUUUUGCUUGCCAGAGGGAGAAACAGAACAGCUCACUCAAGGAUGCACAGAGGUAGGAAACAGCAGAGAGUUCAAGGUUCUGCACUUCUCACUGAACUUCCUUCUCUGGACGGUGUUACAGCUCCACAAACACACCUCCUCAGGCUUCCCCAUCCAAGAAGUGUCUCCUAUGUGACUUGCUUGCAUCAGAAUUAGCAGUUUAAAAUAUUCAGAUAUGCCUCCCACUUUUUUUCUUUCUCUUUUCCGCUGAUCCUAGAAAUACAGAUAACGUCCCUCUGCAGGCAGGCUUAUCAGGCAGGAGUGUUUGGGUGAGCUGUGAAAAGCAGCACAUUCACUAGUUGUUAGAAAAAUCCCCUAAUGCUUGCAUAGCAUUGUUCCGAGGUGUGUAAAGACACACACAUAUGUUAUGGCUCAUUACGGGAAACGCACCAAAAAGAGCAGUUACACACAGACACUGCAUUUAAAGCCAUUUGCUGCAGGAUUUUCAAGGAAAAAUUGAAAGGAAAAUUUACUCACAG